rnacentral:rRNA from 1 species
CCUACGGGAGGCAGCAGUGAGGAAUAUUGGUCAAUGGACGCAAGUCUGAACCAGCCAUGCCGCGUGCAGGAUGACGGCCCUAUGAGUUGUAAACUGUUUUUGUACGAGGGUAAACCCCGAUACGUGUAUCGGGUUGAAAGUAUCGUACGAAUAAGGAUCGGCUAACUCCGUGCCAGCAGCCGCGGUAAUACGGAGGUUCCGGGCGUUAUCCGGAUUUAUUGGGUUUAAAGGGUGGGUAGGCGGUUUGAUAAGUUAGAGGGGAAAGGUCGGGGUUCAACGCCGAAACUGCCUCUAAUACUGUUGGGCUAGAGAAUAGUUGCGGUAGGCGGAAUGUAUGGUGUAGCGGUGAAAUGCUUAGAGAUCAUACAGAACACCGAUUGCGAAGGCAGCUUACGAAACUAUAUCUGACGUUGAGGCACGAAAGCGUGGGUAGCAAACAGGAUUAGAUACCCGAGUAGUC